UCAGAAGGAAGGGAGGGAGAGAGCGCUCGCUCUGGGGACUAGCCUUUGCUCUGUAAACUGUUAAAGGCUGAGCUAGGAGCCCUGCGACGUGCAGAAACAUUGUCUUAUGGGCAGCUGCAUCUUCACAAUUCCUCAGGGCAGACUUGCCUGCUGAAUUUACCUACAAAAGUGACCAACAAUAGGACCAUCAGAAGAAUCAGAAGCUGAGCCCAGCCCAGACUACAAACGUGCUCUCCGACUGCAGCUGUAACUUCAACUUGCCAAUGUACAACAUUGCUCACAAGAGGACCAGAUGAGAGAGUGUGAAUGAGUUUAUUGCCAACCCUUUCCUACUCCCCAAACAAAACAAUUUUGUAGAUUUGUUAUUGAUGGGUCAUAGCACCAUCUUCAUAUACAAAUGACAACAUUUCAUAUGGCAUUAUUUUCAGUAUAAAUGAUAACAGAGAUCAUGGGGAGACUGUAAAAAUUAUCUUGGGCUAUUGUCUUAUAGAUUAAAGUACAGUUAUGUUUUCCACUGAUUUACAUUCUGACAUCUUAGCUGA